rnacentral:lncRNA from 1 species
AGUUCUUAAAUGCGGCUCCAUAGGGUGCAGACAGGGGUUUGGUUGAACUAUGGUUGAUUUCUGAUAAAAUUUGCUUGCUGUCUUAACUCAACUUUAGAACUGCUUUUCCUCUGCGUCCCACACAUGCCUGCACUAUUGAUUGACAAAUUAAAAAAAGUCUUCUAUUAGCGCUCAUUUUGUAUUGGAUUUUCUUCUCUUUUUCUUUUUCUAGUUAGUGUUUCAAAAGCUUUUUCUCUGACUUCUGUGACAUUUGUCCCGAAAACAACGUUCGACUUGCAUGUGUUAAGCAUAUAGCUAGCGUUCCUUCUGAGC